UAUUUGAUCUUCUGCCUAUGAACUACUUUUUUUUUUCUUUCCAGAAGCUCUUAGGACUUUUUUCUUUAUUUCUAAAGUUCUAAAAUUUCAUGAUUAUAUAUCUUAGUAUGUUUUAUAUUGUUUCCCAGAAAGUGAACUUGAGGCAAAAUCUUAUUUGCAGUUAUUUUACUGGUAGUGCAAGUCCAGAAAUCAUGGUGAGAGAUAAGAGGAGUGAGGGAGAAAAGAAAUACAGCCAAUAUGAAGAUGAGUUACUAAUGGGUUUAAUAUUAUGGAGCUGUCCUCUUGGAUUAAAUGCAUCUCAGGAUCAUCUGUUUCAGGUGUCUGCUGUUUAUCUGUAAGAGUGGAGCUCUGAGAAACCAGUUGAAAGCUCUCCGUGUAUGGGGUUAGGACACCCACUGUCAACUGUGCCCAGAGUUGCCUAGCCAGACUUUCUAUUUUACCUUCUCCAGAGAAUAAACUCUUAUCUUCUACCAAGAGGGAGAGGGGAAUCUUGGAAGUAAACUGUUUCUUAAACAGAACUGGAACCAACCAUCCUGAUUUUAACCCCACCUUCAUACCAUCUCUAGAUGUACCUAGUGCAUAGUUCUUGAGCCUUUGGGCAUUCUGCAGUGUGAAAUGAUUUGCUUCUCUGCUCUCCUCACUACCAGUUUAACACUUAGUUUCUUGGGUCUGCUAGGUCAUCCAUCUCUUUUCCAGCUUCCAAAAAUUUGUAGGUGGGACUCUCCUCUCCUGUUCUCUUUGUGGUAUUCUUUUCCAAAUCUCUUUCUCAUGGAAAGUAAAUGUACUCCUGAAAGUCUACUCUUCCUCCCACCAUAACAAAUAGAAACAUUGACCAAAUUAACUCCAGGGGAAAUUCUACUGUUUCUUGUCUUGGAAAAUUUAUGUCUCCACAAUGUAUUUGUAGCAUAAUAGAAUUUGUGUUUCAUGUGUCAACUCUGGCUUACUGAGGCAUUACAAGAGAUUAUACACUUAGUAUAGUAUACAAAAUAAACUCAUUCAGAAAUUUUUACUCCAUCCAAACAGAGUAUAGUAGAUCUGCAAAUCCUUCAAUUGAUUUGAUUGGUUUUCUCUGCACUCUGAACUUCUAGGUGAGAGAAACAAAUUCAAAUAUAACAACCCUAACAGGAAUUUAGUUAAAAUGAAAAUAAACAUUCCGGUAGAGAUUUGGGCCCAUGGUCUACACUUUGUAUUUCUAAAUGAUAAAGAGAAUUGAUGUUCCAAAUGAUAACCUUAAGACACCAUAGUAUUUUCUUUCAGAUAAAAAUUAUGUUCUAUCUUUGUAAGGUGGAGCUUUAGACAUUUCAGAAAAGGUUUUAAUGAUGAGAGUGGAGCAUAAAGAGAUUUCAGGUUAACUGUAAGUCAUUCAUCAGAAUGUUUGAUUCUGCAAAGUUAUUCUGGCUUUAUGGGACAGAAGUAAAUAAAUGGACAAUUGCCCAGAAUAUUUAAUGAGUGAGUGUGCUUAGUUGGAAGAAGCUGAGUCUACAGAAUUGUAAGCUUGAGCCCACAUCAGUAGCAGCAAACUAUUUUUCACUCAGAAUCUGUUUUAGUAAUCACUUUGCAGUUGCUGCCUCUAAUGAAACUUCCAGAAUCACAAUAAAUAACUAAAGCAAUU